rnacentral:rRNA from 1 species
GCGUUAUCCGGAUUUACUGGGCGUAAAGGGUGCGUAGGUGGUUUCUUAAGUCAGGAGUGAAAGGCUACGGCUCAACCGUAGUAAGCUCUUGAAACUGGGAGACUUGAGUGCAGGAGAGGAAAGUGGAAUUCCUAGUGUAGCGGUGAAAUGCGUAGAUAUUAGGAGGAACACCAGUAGCGAAGGCGGCUUUCUGGACUGUAACUGACGCUGAGUCACGAAAGCGUGGGUAGC